UACGGAGGGUGCAAGCGUUAUCCGGAUUCACUGGGUUUAAAGGGUGCGUAGGUGGGUCUGUAAGUCAGUGGUGAAAUCUCCAAGCUUAACUUGGAAACUGCCAUUGAUACUAUCAAUCUUGAAUACCGUGGAGGUCAGCGGAAUAUGUCAUGUAGCGGUGAAAUGCUUAGAUAUGACAUAGAACACCAAUUGCGAAGGCAGCUGGCUACACGAAUAUUGACACUGAUGCACGAAAGCGUGGGGAUCAAACAGG
rnacentral:rRNA from 1 species